rnacentral:rRNA from 1 species
UACGUAGGGUGCUAGCGUUGUUCGGAAUCAUUGGGCGUAAAGCGCGUGUAGGUGGUCAGUAAAGUUGGGUGUGAAAUCCCUCGGCUCAGCCGAGGAAGUGCACUCAAAACUAACUGGCUUGAGAGUGGUAGAGGAAGGUGGAAUUCCUAGUGUAGAGGUGAAAUUCGUAGAUAUUAGGAGGAAUACCGGAGGCGAAGGCGGCCUUCUGGACCAUUUCUGACACUGAGACGCGAAAGCGUGGGUAGCAAACAGG